rnacentral:rRNA from 1 species
GACGAACGCUGGCGGCGUGCUUAACACAUGCAAGUCGAACGAUGAAGCUGGAGCUUGCUCUGGCGGAUUAGUGGCGAACGGGUGAGUAACACGUGAGAAAUCUGCCCUUGACUCUGGGAUAACUGCGGGAAACUGUAGCUAAUACCGGAUACUUUCCCUGGUGGGCAUCCACUGGGGAAGAAAGAAUUUCGGUCAAGGAUGAUCUCGCGGCCUAUCAGCUUGUUGGUGAGGUAAUGGCUCACCAAGGCGACGACGGGUAGCCGGCCUGAGAGGGUGACCGGCCACACUGGGACUGGGCCACGGCCCAGAAUCCUACGGGAGGCAGCAGUGGGGAAUAUUGCACAAUGGGAGCAAGCCUGAUGCAGCAACGCCGCGUGAGGGAUGAAGGCCUUCGGGUUGUAAACCUCUUUUAGCAGGGAAGAAGCGAAAGUGACGGUACCUGCAGAAAAAGCACCGGCUAACUACGUGCCAGCAGCCGCCGUAA